AUUGAACGCUGGCGGCAGGCUUAACACAUGCAAGUCGAGCGGAGAGAGGUAGCUUGCUACUGAUCUUAGCGGCGGACGGGUGAGUAAUGCUUAGGAAUCUGCCUAUUAGUGGGGGACAACAUUUCGAAAGGAAUGCUAAUACCGCAUACGUCCUACGGGAGAAAGCAGGGGAUCUUCGGACCUUGCGCUAAUAGAUGAGCCUAAGUCGGAUUAGCUAGUUGGUGGGGUAAAGGCCUACCAAGGCGACGAUCUGUAGUGGGUCUGAGAGGAUGAUCCGCCACACUGGGACUGAGACACGGCCCAGACUCCCACGGGAGGCAGCAGUGGGGAAUAUUGGACAAUGGGCGGAAGCCUGAUCCAGCCACGCCGCGUGUGUGAAGAAGGCCUUAUGGUUGUAAAGCACUUUAAGCGAGGAGGAGGCUACUUUAGCUAAUACCUAGAGAUAGUGGACGUUACUCGCAGAAUAAGCACCGGCUAACUCUGUGCCAGCAGCCGCAGUAAUAC
rnacentral:rRNA from 1 species